CCCACGGAAACGUGAGCUAAUACCGGAUACCUCAUUUCCUCUCCUGGGGAGAUGACGAAAGACGGAGCAAUCUGUCACUUGCGGAUGGGCCUGCGGCGCAUUAGCUAGUUGGUGAGGUAACGGCUCACCAAGGCGACGAUGCGUAGCCGACCUGAGAGGGUGAACGGCCACACUGGGACUGAGACACGGCCCAGACUCCUACGGGAGGCAGCAGUAGGGAAUCUUCCGCAAUGGGCGAAAGCCUGACGGAGCAACGCCGCGUGAGUGAUGAAGGUUUUCGGAUCGUAAAGCUCUGUUGCCAGGGAAGAACGUCCGAUAGAGUAACUGCUAUCGGAGUGACGGUACCUGAGAAGAAAGCCCCGGCUAACUACGUGCCAGCAGCCGCGGUAAUACGUAGGGGGCAAGCGUUGUCCGGAAUUAUUGGGCGUAAAGCGCGCGCAGGCGGUCAUUUAAGUCUGGUGUUUAAGGCCAAGGCUCAACCUUGGUUCGCACUGGAAACUGGGUGACUUGAGUGCAGAAGAGGAGAGUGGAAUUCCACGUGUAGCGGUGAAAUGCGUAGAUAUGUGGAGGAACACCAGUGGCGAAAGCGACUCUCUCGGCUGUAACUGACGCUGAAGCGCGAAGCCUGCGGAGCAAACAGGAUUAGAUACCCUGGUAGUCCACGCCGUAAACCAUCAAUGCUACGUGUUAGGGGUUUCGAUAC
rnacentral:rRNA from 1 species